GUGGGGAAUAUUGGACAAUGGGGGGAACCCUGAUCCAGCCAUGUCGCGUGUGUGAAGAAGGCCUUUUGGUUGUAAAGCACUUUAAGCGAGGAGGAGGCUACCGAGAUUAAUACUCUUGGAUAGUGGACGUUACUCGCAGAAUAAGCACCGGCUAACUCUGUGCCAGCAGCCGCGGUAAUACAGAGGGUGCAAGCGUUAAUCGGAUUUACUGGGCGUAAAGCGCGCGUAGGUGGCCAAUUAAGUCAAAUGUGAAAUCCCCGAGCUUAACUUGGGAAGUGCAUUCGAUACUGGUUGGCUAGAGUAUGGGAGAGGAUGGUAGAAUUCCAGGUGUAGCGGUGAAAUGCGUAGAGAUCUGGAGGAAUACCGAUGGCGAAGGCAGCCAUCUGGCCUAAUACUGACACUGAGGUGCGAAAGCAUGGGGAGCAAACAGGAUUAGAUACCCGUGUAGUCC
rnacentral:rRNA from 1 species